rnacentral:lncRNA from 1 species
AGACAGGUUAAUAUUUUGCUUUCCCUGGAGCUCUGGCCAUAGCAACCUGCAUGCUUGAAAUGCUGACCACUCUCAGACUUGGUCAACUUGCCUUCAGCUUGUUUGAGAUGGUGUAUAUUAGUCACGAAGACCUAGGCAUUCAAGCUGUUAACUCUUAGAUUCUUACUCCUGUGAGGCUAGCUACAGAAAUCCAGGUGGAGAAUGGGCCUAGACCGCAAGCCAAGAUGUCCUGAAAGAGUGUGGUGCCUACAUUUCUUCAUUGUCUCCUGUCCUCGGUUCUCAUCUUACUUCUUCGAUCUACCAAAAUGGCACCACUUCCCUGUUCUGCAGUCCAUGGACUUGCCUCUGCUUGUCCACAGAUCUCUCCCUACUGUGCCACCUCCCCUCUUCCAGGUGAAUUAAAUCCUUUCUCAAG